UAAGCGGAGGAAAAGAAACUAACAAGGAUUCCCCUAGUAACGGCGAGUGAACAGGGAAGAGCUCAAAUUUGUAAUCUGGCGUCCUUUGGGCGUCCGAGUUGUAAUCUAUAGAAGCGUUUUCCGUGCUGGACCAUGUCCAAGUCCCUUGGAACAGGGUAUCAAAGAGGGUGAUAAUCCCGUGCUUGACAUGACGACCAGUGCUCUGUGAUACGUUUUCUACGAGUCGAGUUGUUUGGGAAUGCAGCUCAAAAUGGGUGGUGAGUUCCAUCUAAAGCUAAAUAUUGGCGAGAGACCGAUAGCGAACAAGUACCGUGAGGGAAAGAUGAAAAGCACUUUGGAAAGAGAGUUAAACAGUACGUGAAAUUGUUGAAAGGGAAACGAUUGAAGUCAGUCGUGUCCAAGGGGUUCAGCCGGUUAUGCCGGUGUAUUCCUCUUGGACGGGUCAACAUCAGUUUGGACCGGUGGAAAAGGGUAGUUGGAAGGUGGCAGCUCCGGCUGUGUUAUAGACUUCUACCGCACACACUGGUUCAGACUGAGGCAUGCAGCUCGCCCUUGUGGCCGGGGUUUACCUACGUACGAGCUUAGGAUGUUGACAUAAUGGCUUUAAACGACCCGUCUUGAAACACG
rnacentral:rRNA from 1 species